ACUCUAGUCUGGCAUUGUAAGGCGAUAUAAGAGGUGCAGUAUAGGUGGGAGACCGGGUAAAACAUUACCUCCCGGUCGCCAAUGAGAUACCACCACUCUUACUGUUGCCUUACUUAUAUGAUCAGGUGGAACAAAGCGCGAGCCGGCGAGU
rnacentral:ncRNA from 1 species